rnacentral:rRNA from 1 species
AUUGAACGCUGGCGGCAUGCCUUACACAUGCAAGUCGAACGGCAGCACGGGAGCAAUCCUGGUGGCGAGUGGCGAACGGGUGAGUAAUAUAUCGGAACGUGCCCAGUCGUGGGGGAUAACGUAGCGAAAGCUACGCUAAUACCGCAUACGAUCUAUGGAUGAAAGCGGGGGAUCGCAAGACCUCGCGCGAUUGGAGCGGCCGAUAUCAGAUUAGGUAGUUGGUGAGGUAAAGGCUCACCAAGCCGACGAUCUGUAGCUGGUCUGAGAGGACGACCAGCCACACUGGGACUGCGACACGGCCCAGACUCCUACGGGAGGCAGCAGUGGGGAAUCUUGGACAGUGGGCGCAAGCCUGAUCCAGCAAUGCCGCGUGCAGGAUGAAGGCCUUCGGGUUGUAAACUGCUUUUGUACGGAACGAAACGGUGAGCUCUAAUACAGUUUGCUAAUGACGGUACCGUAAGAAUAAGCACCGGCUAACUACGUGCCAGCCGCCGCAGUAA